UACAGAGGUCCCAAGCGUUGUCCGGAUUUACUGGGCGUAAAGAGCGCGCAGGCGGUCGUUCAAGUCGAGUGUGAAAGCCCCCGGCUCAACUGGGGAGGGUCACUCGAUACUGAUCGACUUGAAGGCAGGAGAGGGAAGCGGAAUUCCCGGUGUAGUGGUGAAAUGCGUAGAUAUCGGGAGGAACACCAGUGGCGAAGGCGGCUUCCUGGCCUGUUCUUGACGCUGAGGCGCGAAAGCUAGGGGAGCAAACGGG
rnacentral:rRNA from 1 species